rnacentral:rRNA from 1 species
GACAGAGGGUGCAAACGUUGUUCGGAAUUACUGGGCGUAAAGCGUGUGUAGGCGGCCGCGUAAGUCGGAUGUGAAAGCCCUGGGCUCAACCCAGGAAGUGCACUCGAUACUGCGUGGCUUGAGUACUGGAGAGGUUGGUGGAAUUCUCGGUGUAGAGGUGAAAUUCGUAGAUAUCGAGAGGAACACCGGUGGCGAAGGCGGCCAACUGGACAGAUACUGACGCUGAGACACGAAAGCGUGGGGAGCAAAUAGG